GAGAAGCACUGUUCUAGAAUUUCCAGAGAUGCAGAGGACCUGCGCCUCCCCCUUUCACGAAGACACAGGUGCAGCUGGGUUUAUAGGAAUAGUUUUACUGCUCUGGGGUUGGUUCCUCAGGGUUGGAUAAGGAGAGUGGGCCGCCGUGGGUUUGAAGGGCUUUGGGGCCCCUAACUCCACAAACCCCAAGGGCUACUGAUGUCUCCUGGGAAGGGGAAGGCAGUGCUGGGCACUCGUCCCUUUCCUACGUCUGGGCCCUCCUGGAGCAGAGUCUUGGCAGGUUUUAUUGUUUGUAUCAUGUGAUAUCGAAGAAGAAGGGCUGGAUCUCAAGAGCCCAUCCUGUUAGAAGGCGUCGCUUCUAACGAUCAGAGGCUGAGAACACUCAGCGCUGACUCGUGCCCCUUCAAAACCAUUAAAAAUCUCCGGUGUGGCCUUGGGCAAGUGAGUUAGCAUCUCUGAGCCCAGUGGUCAAAGAUAGCUCCUGGUGCCUGCCCAAGAACACAGUGUGCAGGAGCGUGCCUUGAACAAGCGAAAGCUGGGCCCAGAACAAGAUACAUUCGGUACCCGCUGCGGGAGGCGCGGAGGGGCCAAGGAAGCGGGUGAUUGGGAGAACAUCUGAGCAAGAUCACCUCCUGUUAAGUCCCAAACCUGGCGAAAAGCGUCAGGGCGGGUGGAGUCAACACAUCUAUUUUUCAUUAUCCCC